UACGUAGGGUGCGAGCGUUAAUCGGAAUUACUGGGCGUAAAGCGUGCGCAGGUGGUUAUGUAAGACAGAUGUGAAAUCCCCGGGCUUAACCUGGGAAUUGCAUUUGUGACUGCAUGGCUAGAGUGUGGCAGAGGGGGAUGGAAUUCCGCGUGUAGCAGUGAAAUGCGUAGAUAUGCGGAGGAACACCGAUGGCGAAGGCAGUCCCCUGGGCCUGCACUGACACUCAUGCACGAAAGCGUGGGGAGCAAACAGG
rnacentral:rRNA from 1 species